rnacentral:rRNA from 1 species
GACGAACGCUGGCGGCGUGCCUAAUACAUGCAAGUUGAGCGCUGAAGGUUGGUACUUGUACCGACUGGAUGAGCAGCGAACGGGUGAGUAACGCGUGGGGAAUCUGCCUUUGAGCGGGGGACAACAUUUGGAAACGAAUGCUAAUACCGCAUAAAAACUUUAAACACAAGUUUUAAGUUUGAAAGAUGCAAUUGCAUCACUCAAAGAUGAUCCCGGUUUGUAUUAGCUAGUGGGUGAGGUAAAGGCGAAACAAGGCGAUGAUACAUAGCCGACCUGAGAGGGUGAUCGGCCACAUUGGGACUGAGACACGGCCCAAACUCCUACGGGAGGCAGCAGUAGGGAAUCUUCGGCAAUGGACGAAAGUCUGACCGAGCAACGCCGCGUGAGUGAAGAAGGUUUUCGGAUCGUAAAACUCUGUUGGUAGAGAAGAACGUUGGUGAGAGUGGAAAGCUCAUCAAGUGACGGUAACUACCCAGAAAGGGACGGCUAACUACGUGCCAGCAGCCGCAGUAA